rnacentral:lncRNA from 1 species
AGAUGAAGGAGUUCUGAGAAUGAUGGCACUUACAUCUAAGAAUGUGCUACACCAGCUUUUGGAUUCCCUCAAGAUCGCUUUAUUAGCAGGAGACAGACAGAGUCUUUUUACAACAUGUUGUGUUGGUGACUGGAUAGUUCUGGGGACUAAUGAGGAGAUAGAAAAUCACAGUGAACUCAGCAACCAUUUCAAAUCCAAGGUUUUUAGUGCCCUCUGGAAGGACAUCAACAAGAUUUAGACACAAGCAUAUCACUGCUGUAAUGAACACUGGCAAAAAUGGAGAAACUGGAACUGGAAAUGCAUUUGCAAUACUACUUUGGGAAUUGCUACCAUAAUUACACUCAUUUAGAUAACAGUACCUUUGUAAAUGCUUUUUCCUUGUCAUGGAACACAAUAGGGAUUAUAUUAUUUUAAUGACCUUGGUGACCAAAUUGUACAACUUUUAUCAUAGUAAAAAAUCUAGGAGAAAAUUUGGCUCAAUUGAGGCCAUAGAAAAACUCCUACUGACUUUGUUGGAGUGAACAUUUGGACAAAAUCCAUCCUAAUUUUCCAGGUGUGACUGGUUCUAUUCACAGGGAGCUUAUACUUUUGCCUCAUACUCUUAGCAUAUGACUAUGAGCAAAGUGAUAUUUUUUAUGCACAGAUUCUACAAACUCUGAAUUUUAUUUCAUAAAAG